UGGGGAAUAUUGGGCAAUGGGCGCAAGCCUGACCCAGCAACGCCGCGUGAGGGAAGAAGGUUUUCGGAUUGUAAACCUCUGUCCUUGGUGACGAAGGAAGUGACGGUAGCCAAGGAGGAAGCCCCGGCUAACUACGUGCCAGCAGCCGCGGUAAUACGUAGGGGGCGAGCGUUGUCCGGAAUUACUGGGCGUAAAGGGUGCGUAGGUGGUUUCUUAAGUCAGAGGUGAAAGGCUACGGCUCAACCGUAGUAAGCCUUUGAAACUGGGAAACUUGAGUGCAGGAGAGGAGAGUGGAAUUCCUAGUGUAGCGGUGAAAUGCGUAGAUAUUAGGAGGAACACCAGUUGCGAAGGCGGCUCUCUGGACUGUAACUGACACUGAGGCACGAAAGCGUGGGGAGCAAACAGGAUUAGAUACCCUGGUAGU
rnacentral:rRNA from 1 species